CCUACGGGAGGCUGCAGUGAGGAAUAUUGGUCAAUGGGCGAGAGCCUGAACCAGCCAAGUCGCGUGAGGGAGUACUGCCCUAUGGGUUGUAAACCUCUUUUGCCGGGGAGCAAAAGCCGGACGUGUCCGGCUGUGAGAGUACCCGAAGUAAAAGCAUCCGCUAACGCCGUUCCAGCAGCCGCGGUAAUACGGGGGAUGCGAGCGGUAGCAGGAUUUAUUGGGGUUAAGGGGUGCGCAGGCGGAUUUUAAAGUAACCGGUAAAAUCGUGGGGCUCUACCACAUCCAGCCGUUGAAACUGGUGAUCUAGAGUGUGCGAGAGGUAUGCGGAAUGCGUGGUGUAGCGGUGAAAUGCAUAGAUAUCACGCAGAACCCCGAUUGCGAAGGCAGCAUACCGGUGCACAACUGACGCUCAGGCACGAAAGCGUGGGUAUCGAACAGGAUUAGAUACCCUUGUAGUC
rnacentral:rRNA from 1 species